AGUGGAUGGGGAGCAACCUAGUUGUGCGUGUGUAAAGGUAGUGCCAAGAAAAGCGAUGAUCAUGUUGAAAAUCAAUUCCCGGUACCCGAAACCGACACAGGUGGGCAAGUAGAGAAUACUAAGGGGCGCGAGGUAACUCUCUCCAAGGAACUCGUCAAAAUGACCCCGUAACUUAGGGAGAAGGGGUGCCACCGAGAGGUGGUCGCAGUGAAGAGGCCCAGGCGACUGUUUAGCAAAAACAUAGGUCUCUGCAAACUCGAAAGAGGAGGUAUAGGGGCUGACGCCUGCCCAGUGCCGGAAGGUUAAAGAAGUUGGUCAGUUUUAGGAUGAAGCUAGCGACUGAAGCCCCGGUGAACGGCGGCCGUAACUAUAACGGUCCUAAGGUAGCGAAAUUCCUUGUCGGGUAAGUUCCGACCCGCACGAAAGGCGUAACGAUCUGGGCGCUGUCUCGGAGAGAGGCUCGGCGAAAUAGGAUUGUCUGUGAAGAUACGGACUACCUGCAUUUGGACAGAAAGACCCUAUGAAGCUUUACUAUAGCUUGGAAUUGUGUUCGGGCUUCCUGUGCGCAGGAUAGGUGGGAGGCGUAGAAGGUAUUCUUGUGGGGAUACUGGAGCCAACGGUGAGAUACCACUCUCAGGAGGCUAGAAUUCUAACUUAAUUAAGGACAGUUUCAGGUGGGUAGUUUGACUGGGGCGGUCGCCUCCAAAAAGGUAACGGAGGCGUACAAAGGUUCCCUCAGACUGGUUGGAAAUCAGUCGAAGAGUGCAAAGGCAGAAGGGAGCUUGACUGCGAGAAGUACAGUUCGAGCAGGGUGGAAACACGGUCUUAGUGAUCCGACGGUGCUGUGUGGAAGGGCCGUCGCUCAACGGAUAAAAGUUACUCUAAGGAUAACAGGCUGAUCUCCCCCAAGAGUUCACAUCGACGGGGAGGUUUGGCACCUCGAUGUCGGCUCAUCGCAACCUGGGGCGGAAGUACGUCCCAAGGGUUGGGCUGUUCGCCCAUUAAAGCGGUACGUGAGCUGGGUUCAGAACGUCGUGAGACAGUUCGGUCCAUAUCCGAUGUAGGCGUGAGAAUAUCAGAGGAGCCUUCCUUAGUACGAGAGGACCGGGAAGGACGCACCGCUGGUGUACCUGUUAUGAUGCCAAUUGUAAACGCAGGGUAGCCAAGUGCGGAGAGGAUAACCGCUGAAAGCAUCUAAGUGGGAAGCCCACCUCAAGAUGAGUAUUCUGGUGUAAGGUCACGGGAAGACGACCCGUAAAUAGGCACGAGGUGGAAGUGCAGAGAUGUAUGAAGCCGAAGUGUACUAAUAGACCGUCGGCUUGACC
rnacentral:rRNA from 1 species